rnacentral:rRNA from 1 species
CCUACGGGCGGCAGCAGUGGGGAAUAUUGCACAAUGGGCGAAAGCCUGAUGCAGCAACGCCGCGUGAGCGAUGAAGGCCUUCGGGUCGUAAAGCUCUGUCCUCAAGGAAGAUAAUGACGGUACUUGAGAAGGAAGCCCCGGCUAACUACGUGCCAGCAGCCGCGGUAAUACGUAGGGGGCUACCGUUCCCCGGAAUUACUGGGCGUAAAGGGUGCGUAGGUGGUUUCUAAAGUAAGAGGUGAAAGGCUAGGGUUCAACCGUAGUAAGCCUUUGAAACUGGGGAACUUGAGUGCAGGAGAGGAGAGUGGAAUUCCUGGUGUAGCGGUGAAAUGCGUAGAUAUUAGGAGGAACACCAGUUGCGAAGGCGACUCUCUGGACUGUAACUGACGCUGAGGCGCGAAAGCGUGGGGAGCAAACAGGAUUAGAUACCCUAGUAGUC